rnacentral:rRNA from 1 species
CCUACGGGUGGCAGCAGUGAGGAAUAUUGGUCAAUGGGCGUAAGCCUGAACCAGCCAAGUCGCGUGCGGGAUGAAGGUUCUAUGGAUCGUAAACCUCUUUUAUAAGGGAAUAAAGUGUGGGACGUGUCCUAUUUUGUAUGUACCUUAUGAAUAAGGAUCGGCUAACUCCGUGCCAGCAGCCGCGGUAAUACGGAGGAUCCGAGCGUUAUCCGGAUUUAUUGGGUUUAAAGGGUGCGUAGGCGGCCUGUUAAGUCAGCGGUGAAAGUCUGUGGCUUAACCAGAGAAUUGCCGUUAAUACUGGGGGGCUUGAGAAUGGUUGAGGCAGGCGGAAUGCGUGGUGUAGCGGUGAAAUGCUUAGAUAUCACACAGAACCCCGAUUGCGAAGGCAGCCUACCAAGCCAUGACUGACGCUGAUGCACGAAAGCGUGGGGAUCAAACAGGAUUAGAUACCCGAGUAGUC